UACGAAACUCGAAAUCUGGAGCAGAGUAAAUCGAUUUGAGUGAGAUUGGGCUGGAGCAAUCUUUGCAAUCUGACAAAAACUCCUUCGAUCUGCAAAACUAGUCAAGAAACUGGAUGGAGAUCCUCCGAUUCUUGACCCUUCGAUGCUUAAGUUAGUUUGAGCUUUGAGAACAUGGGUGAAAAAGAGUGGAAGAGCAAGAAAAAUUGAAUGAAACUAAAAGAGAAUUGGGCAGAAGCCAAUAGUCUGGCUUAAUUUUCUAUUGACUGAGUUUCCUCUAAUUUUCGAGAGUAAAAUUUAUCAAUGGAGGAUCCCUGACCCUCUAUUUAUAGAGAAGUUGAGGAGACCGUUAGAAGAGUCUAUUAGACGAUUAGAGAACCAC
rnacentral:lncRNA from 1 species